rnacentral:rRNA from 1 species
AGUGAACGCUGGCGGUAGGCCUAACACAUGCAAGUCGAACGGCAGCACAGUAAGAGCUUGCUCUUACGGGUGGCGAGUGGCGGACGGGUGAGGAAUACAUCGGAAUCUACUUUUUCGUGGGGGAUAACGUAGGGAAACUUACGCUAAUACCGCAUACGACCUACGGGUGAAAGCAGGGGAUCUUCGGCCCUUGCGCGAUUGAAUGAGCCGAUGUCGGAUUAGCUAGUUGGCGGGGUAAAGGCCCACCAAGGCGACGAUCCGUAGCUGGUCUGAGAGGAUGAUCAGCCACACUGGAACUGAGACACGGUCCAGACUCCUACGGGAGGCAGCAGUGGGGAAUAUUGGACAAUGGGCGCAAGCCUGAUCCAGCCAUACCGCGUGGGUGAAGAAGGUCUUCGGGUUGUAAAGCCCUUUUGUUGGGAAAGAAAAGCAGCAGGUUAAUACCCCGCUGUUCUGACGUUACCCAAAGAAUAAGCACCGGCUAACUUCGUG